UACAGAGGGGGCAAGCGUUAUUCGGAAUUAUUGGGCGUAAAGGGCGCGUAGGCGGCUUGGCAAGUGGAUGGUGAAAUCCCUCGGCUUAACCGAGGAACUGCCGUCCAAACUGCUUCGCUUGAGACCGGGGGAGGUGAGUGGAAUUCCCAGUGUAGCGGUGAAAUGCGUAGAUAUUGGGAGGAACACCAGUGGCGAAGGCGGCUCACUGGACCGGUACUGACGCUGAUGCGCGAAAGCGUGGGGAGCAAACGGG
rnacentral:rRNA from 1 species